UACAGAGGUCUCGAGCGUUGUUCGGAUUCAUUGGGCGUAAAGGGCGCGUAGGCGGCGGGGUAAGUCUGGUGUGAAAUCUCGGAGCUCAACUCCGAAAUUGCACUGGAUACUGCUCUGCUAGAGGGCUGGAGAGGAGGAUCGGAAUUCACGGUGUAGCAGUGAAAUGCGUAGAUAUCGUGAGGAAGACCAGUGGCGAAGGCGGAUCUCUGGACAGCUCCUGACGCUGAGGCGCGAAGGCUAGGGGGAGCAAACGGG
rnacentral:rRNA from 1 species